CUGCAGAUGCUGGAUUCUUAGGAAGAACACAAUUUAUUAGAUGCACAGAAUCUCUUGUCCAGAGUAGGGGAAUCGAGGACCAGGGGCCGUAGGUUCAAGGUUAAGGGAAAAAGACUUAAUAGGAA